rnacentral:rRNA from 1 species
GACGAACGCUGGCGGCGUGCUUAACACAUGCAAGUCGAACGGAAAGGCCCUGCCUUUGUGGGGUGCUCGAGUGGCGAACGGGUGGGUAACACGUGAGUAACCUGCCCUUGACUUUGGGAUAACUUCAGGAAACUGGGGCUAAUACCGGAUAGGAGCUCCUGCUGCAUGGUGGGGGUUGGAAAGUUUCGGCGGUUGGGGAUGGACUCGCGGCUUAUCAGCUUGUUGGUGGGGUAGUGGCUUACCAAGGCUUUGACGGGUAGCCGGCCUGAGAGGGUGACCGGCCACAUUGGGACUGAGAUACGGCCCAGACUCCUACGGGAGGCAGCAGUGGGGAAUAUUGCACAAUGGGCGGAAGCCUGAUGCAGCAACGCCGCGUGCGGGAUGACGGCCUUCGGGUUGUAAACCGCUUUCGCCUGUGACGAAGCGUGAGUGACGGUAAUGGGUAAAGAAGCACCGGCUAACUACGUG